AAAGCUCUAGCCUGCUGCUUCUGAUGCUGCUCCCUCUGCAGAAGAGCAUCCUGAAAAACAUGACCUUCCUAUCACCAGGACACACUCAUCUCAACCUCCAUGUGUCAGUUGUUUUAGUCACUCUGCCCUACUUGUUUUUUUUGUGCGAGGUAAGUGUGUUCACUGUUCUAUGUGCUCUCAGUUGUUUUGAUUUAAUUUCCAGACACUUCCACCCAACUGUGUGAUUAGUCUGGUGGGCCAAUGCGUCAAACUGUGGUCAUAGGGAGCUGGGGUGCAGAUGGUGGAGUUGUUUGGGGUAGAGAGGACAGUGGACUCAGUGGAGGAUAUCCCAGCCACUUGGCAGUGUUGGCACUGCUACUUCCCACAUGACGGGAGGAGUUGAAGGUGGAGCAUUCCUCGAACCUGCGACGCACCCGGUGAUCUAUGGUAUGAUGGCUGACUUUGCAGUUCCUGUUACUUCAAAAACGGAGCGACGCCUUCAUGUUCACCCACGAAGACAUAUCUCCCUUCGCCUCCCGCCGACCCCCGAGGGGCACCUUCAACACCUCCUCACCUUGACGACACACACUGUGGCUGAAUCUCAAUAGUCUAGAUAAUAGCUUCCUCUGUCACUUUAGUGAGGACAAUACUGUUCUGGUUACACUAGUAUGUACAGAGGCCCUUGAUCUUUAAAUAUGAACGCUUUUAUGGAGGUUUUGUCUUUUAUUUUGUGACACUGUUUUUACGGUCUUUUUGUUUGUAUUGGCUGCACUAAAAUUUCAAUCAACUCUGUUGAUAUGGCGAUUGCAACAGUUGUCAGUUGGUGUGACUAAAAUACAAUUUCAUGUCUUGUAUAUUUUCCAUGCAUUUUCUUUUAAGAACUUUAUCCUCGAGUGUUAUAAUUUCAGUAACAGCUACUUUGCUUUGGCUCUUAUCACUCCAUAAAUUCACUCCAUAAAUUUGUAUGUUAAGGCAGAACCGUG